rnacentral:misc_RNA from 1 species
AUCUCCCGCGCCACCGCCGCGACCCGCGGGUGGUCCCGCGGGUCGGCGCCGCCGAAGGCGAACGCUUUGAAGUAGUACCAGUACUCCUCCCGCUGCAGCCUGUGCAGCACCACGGGGUCCGCCGUGCCGAGCCGGGCGAGGUCGGCGUCGCGGCACGUGAGCAGGAGCUUGCUCCCGUCGCCGAGCGGGGUCGGGGACGACGCCAGCGCGGCCCACGCCGACUCGUCCAUGGGCCAGGCGUCCUCGAACACGAGCAGCGACGGCCCCGCCGCGUUCGCGAACCGCGGCUCGCUGAGGAUGUGGCGCACGCCGGCGAGGUACUCCGGCCCGCCGCUCUCCCACAGGUACUGCCCCGGCAGGCCCCCCGCCCGCACCACGUCGGGCGUCUCGAACCACUCGAUGCGCACGAAGUGGCCGCGCACGCGCUCGUCGUCGCACGCGUGCUUCACCAGCGUCGUCUUGCCCACCUUCUUGGCGCCCACCACGGCGAGCGCGCUCAGGUACGGCGCCCGCCCGCUGGGCGCGUGCUGCAGCAGGAAGUCCACCACGCGCUCCUUCUCGACGUGGCGGCCGAAUACGCAGCGGUCCAUGUACAGCGUCGUGCGCACCGGCCGGUGCACCUUCCGCGGGUACCCCUGCACCAGCAGGAUGAACUCGCGCAUGUAGUCGCGCGUCAGGCCCUCCAGCUCCUCGGCCACGGCGACCAGCCUCUCGGUGCCCCCGUCGCCGCCCGCGAUCAGGCCCGUCACGCGGGAACGCUUCGCCCUGCUGAACGACCGGCAGAGCGCGAACGACCUCUUGCCUGCACUACUGGCGGCGGCAGUCGUGGCGUCGCCGUCACCCGCGUCCUCGUCGUCGCCGUCGCCGUUCCUGCUGACGACGUCGUCGAGGUCCGUCACCUCGAGCGUGAAGCGGCCGCGGUACAUCCCCGCGGUGAGCGCCUUGAGGUGGGAGAGCAGCUGCUGGUUGGUGAUGUGGCGGCCCUCGGCCUCCUCGACCAUGCUGGCGAUAUUGCCCAGCAGCCGCUCCAGCCGCCGCCGGUGCAGCUCCCGGGCGCCCCGCGAGGGCCGGGGCAAGCUGUCGAAGAGGAAGGCGAAGAUCCGGCCGAGGAUCUCGGACAGCGCCGCCGGGACAACGACUUCCCUGGUGAAGUCCAUACUAGCCAGCUCACUCGCUCACCCACCAGUCCUCCAC